GUUAAGGUGGCAGAGCUUGGCAAUUGCAUAAAACUUAAAACUUUACUACCAGAGGUUCAAUUCCUCUCCUUAACA
rnacentral:tRNA from 1 species